ensembl:lncRNA
CAGCAGUAAAAUAACAGUAGCGAGGCUAUAUACAGGGGGUACUGGUACAGAGUCAAUGUGGAGGCUAUAUACAGGGGGUACUGGUACAGAGUCAAUGUGGAGGCUAUAUACAGGGGGUACUGGUACAGAGUCAAUGUGGAGGCUAUAUACAGGGGGUACUGGUACAGAGUCAAUGUGGAGGCUAUAUACAGGGGGUACUGGUACAGAGUCAAUGUGGAGGCUAUAUACAGGGGGUACUGGUACAGAGUCAGUGUGGAGGCUAUAUACAGGGGGUACUGGUACAGAGUCAAUGUGGAGGCUAUAUACAGGGGUACUGGUACAGAGUCAAUGUGGAAGAUAUACACAGGGGGUACCAGUACAGAGUCAAUGUGGAAGAUAUACACAGGUGGUACUGGUACAGAGCCAAUGUGCGGGAGA